rnacentral:rRNA from 1 species
AUACGUAGGGGGCGAGCGUUGUCCGGAAUGAUUGGGCGUAAAGGGCGCGUAGGCGGCGCGGUAAGUCUGGAGUGAAAGUCCUGCUUUCAAGGUGGGAAUUGCUUUGGAUACUGCCGCGCUUGAGUGCAGGAGAGGUUAUCGGAAUUCCCGGUGUAGCGGUGAAAUGCGUAGAGAUCGGGAGGAACACCAGUGGCGAAGGCGGGUAACUGGACUGCAACUGACGCUGAGGCGCGAAAGUGUGGGGAGCAAACAGGAUUAGAUACCCUGGUAGUCCGUGCCGUAAACGAUGAAUACUAGGUGUAGGGGGUAUCGACUCCCUCUGUGCCGCAGUUAACACAUUAAGUAUUCCACCUGGGGAGUACGGCCGCAAGGUUGAAACUCAAAUGAAUUGGCGGGG